CGAGGACAACCGACCCCUCGCGUCCGAGGUUAAACGACGUCCCAAGUGUUACCUCCUCGGAGGCACACGUUAAAGAUCGUUCCGGGUUGUGAGUCUUGACACCAACUGUAUGAUGUUUACAACCGGCGGCGUUGGAUCCCUUGGCACGUCAUUCGAUGAAGACCGUUGCAAAUUGCGAUAAAGUGAUGUGAUGCGCAAGUCCACCACUUAUACGUGAAUCAUCGAGUUGUUGAACGCACUGCACCGCGCCCUAAUCCGGCUGCGGUAUGCCCCUUUGAGCGUCAUUGUCAUCCUUCGGGAGCCUUUCUUUGGGAAGGCCCGAGUUCGGAGUCCUCGGUCCUCGGAUCGUGUUCUCUCAGAUCCAUCAUGCCAACCGUCCAGUGGGUCCUCUAAUGCCUGAGCGUGGAGGGCUUCUGGGUUUCGAGCGGCGUUCGACCGCGUGGAGAGCGCUGGUCGCCAAGUCCGUGCGGCCCAGCCGUCGGUGCUACAACUCAUGACCUCAUUGGGGUAGGACAACCCGCUAGACUUAAGCAUAUUAAUCAGCGGAGGAAAAGAAACUAACCAGGAUUCCCUCAGUAACUGCGAGUGAAGUGGGAUCAGC
rnacentral:rRNA from 1 species